rnacentral:rRNA from 1 species
UACACUCCUGCGGGAGGCAGCAGUGGGGAAUAUUGCACAAUGGGCGCAAGCCUGAUGCAGCCAUGCCGCGUGUAUGAAGAAGGCCUUCGGGUUGUAAAGUACUUUCAGCGGGGAGGAAGGCGAUAAGGUUAAUAACCUUGUUGAUUGACGUUACCCGCAGAAGAAGCACCGGCUAACUCCGUGCCAGCAGCCGCGGUAAUACGGAGGGUGCAAGCGUUAAUCGGAAUUACUGGGCGUAAAGCGCACGCAGGCGGUCUGUCAAGUCGGAUGUGAAAUCCCCGGGCUCAACCUGGGAACUGCAUUCGAAACUGGCAGGCUAGAGUGUUGUAGAGGGGGGUAGAAUUCCAGGUGUAGCGGUGAAAUGCGUAGAGAUCUGGAGGAAUACCGGUGGCGAAGGCGGCCCCCUGGACAAAGACUGACGCUCAGGUGCGAAAGCGUGGGGAGCAAACAGGAUUAGAAACCCGAGUAGUCCCA